rnacentral:rRNA from 1 species
GAAGCGUGCGAUUGGAUUGCACGUCUAAGCAGUAAGGCUGAGUAUUAGGCAAAUCCGGUACUCGUUAAGGCUGAGCUGUGAUGGGGAGAAGACAUUGUGUCUUCGAGUCGUUGAUUUCACACUGCCGAGAAAAGCCUCUAGAUAGAAAAUAGGUGCCCGUACCGCAAACCGACACAGGUAGUCAAGAUGAGAAUUCUAAGGUGAGCGAGCGAACUCUCGUUAAGGAACUCGGCAAAAUGACCCCGUAACUUCGGGAGAAGGGGUGCUCUUUAGGGUUAACGCCCAGAAGAGCCGCAGUGAAUAGGCCCAAGCGACUGUUUAUCAAAAACACAGGUCUCUGCUAAACCGUAAGGUGAUGUAUAGGGGCUGACGCCUGCCCGGUGCUGGAAGGUUAAGAGGAGUGGUUAGCUUCUGCGAAGCUACGAAUCGAAGCCCCAGUAAACGGCGGCCGUAACUAUAACGGUCCUAAGGUAGCGAAAUUCCUUGUCGGGUAAGUUCCGACCCGCACGAAAGGCGUAACGAUUUGGGCACUGUCUCAACGAGAGACUCGGUGAAAUCAUAGUACCUGUGAAGAUGCAGGUUACCCGCGACAGGACGGAAAGACCCCGUGGAGCUUUACUGUAGCCUGAUAUUGAAAUUCGGCACAGCUUGUACAGGAUAGGUA